rnacentral:tRNA from 1 species
CCUUCGAUAGCUCAGUUGGUAGAGCGGUGGACUGUAGAAGCGAGCAAGCAGAAUUAGUAGACAUCCAUAGGUCGCUGGUUCAAAUCCGGCUCGAAGGA